AUGCAUCAGAAAUUUUCUUAAUAACUCCUUGAAUCGCUCCUAUGCUUCAUAUAAUGUUUCAUCCUUUGAUUGUCUAAAUGAUGUAAUGUCAUUCCAUAACUU
rfam:Gossypium raimondii chromosome 13, whole genome shotgun sequence.